rnacentral:rRNA from 1 species
GAGCGAAUGGAUUAGAGAGCUUGCUCUUAUGAAGUUAGCGGCGGACGGGUGAGUAACACGUGGGUAACCUGCCCAUAAGACUGGGAUAACUCCGGGAAACCGGGGCUAAUACCGGAUAACAUUUUGAACUGCAUGGUUCGAAAUUGAAAGGCGGCUUCGGCUGUCACUUAUGGAUGGACCCGCGUCGCAUUAGCUAGUUGGUGAGGUAACGGCUCACCAAGGCAACGAUGCGUAGCCGACCUGAGAGGGUGAUCGGCCACACUGGGACUGAGACACGGCCCAGACUCCUACGGGAGGCAUAAGUAGGGAAUCUUCCGCAAUGGACGAAAGUCUGACGGAGCAACGCCGCGUGAGUGAUGAAGGCUUUCGGGUCGUAAAACUCUGUUGUUAGGGAAGAACAAGUGCUAGUUGAAUAAGCUGGCACCUUGACGGUACCUAACCAGAAAGCCACGGCUAACUACGUGCCAGCAGCCGCGGUAAUACGUAGGUGGCAAGCGUUAUCCGGAAUUAUUGGGCGUAAAGCGCGCGCAGGUGGUUUCUUAAGUCUGAUGUGAAAGCCCACGGCUCAACCGUGGAGGGUCAUUGGAAACUGGGAGACUUGAGUGCAGAAGAGGAAAGUGGAAUUCCAUGUGUAGCGGUGAAAUGCGUAGAGAUAUGGAGGAACACCAGUGGCGAAGGCGACUUUCUGGUCUGUAACUGACACUGAGGCG